CUUAGCUACCUUGUUUCCUAGGAGAUCUAUUAUCCCAGUUGGAAGCAGACAAUAUAUUGGAGUAUUCAUACUCUGCUGUUUCAAUUGGUCAGAGAAAGAAGAGAUUAUCAACAGCCUUGGUUAUGACAUGGCAUUUAAUUCCAAGGUGUAAGCUAGGCUAGAGAUCUCUGCCAAAGAUGUGUAUGUGUUUGUUUUUAAAUGUAGCAUUGAUCCAGCGCUUCAAAAUUUUGUCCCAUGUGGGGACCCAUGACAUACGGGGUCAGUCUAUAGCAAAGCUUGCUUGAAGAAUGCAGAUGGUUUUCCUGUAGUAUCUCCUCUGUCUCUCAUGCCACUUGAUGUACUCAACCAACCAGUUGUAUGUCCCUCCUACUAUUGAAACAACUGCCAAGUCCUAGUCAGAGUGCAGGCAGCCCUUACAAGUACAGAAGUAGCCAGGGACUAUACUGAAACACUGGUUGAAAAGGAUGCUUCUGACUGAAAGUGCAUCAGAUCAUCAUUAUAGACCAGAUAUAACACCGGACAGUGGUUCCAGCUGCAAUCCUGUUCAGACAGAGCAACAAAGUCAUGAAUAAAGACACAAGACUGUUUCAGUAUAACAGAGUGGAGAGAGGCACACUGUAUCCAUUCACUGAGGAAAUACCAUGGGGCGCUGAGGGAUUUCAUGAGCGUUUGAAUCCUGGUUCCUGUGAAGCCAACCAAUUCUGCAACAGACUGAACUUCGGGGGUAGGAAACAUACUUUAUUAGAUAGGAAAGGUAAAUAGUAACUGAA